AGGUUCUCGUCAAGAUGGCGCUGUGAGCAGACGUUGAACUCGCCUCCUCCCACGAACACAACCAGGUUACAACAAUUUUGGGAAGAAUCACCCUGGAUUGAAAACUGAAAACUGGAUAAAAAGAACCCCCACGACAAGGGACAGUCCUGACAAAAGCAGAAGAGGCAGUAACUCCAGCCAGAGAGGAAAAAAGCCACCUUUGGGAGCAGUGGAGAUUCUCAGCUGGCCAGGGGGGAGCCAACUUAAGCAUGGCUUAACAAGCAGUGCCGUGUCCACACCGGGAUCCAAACCGGCGAACCCCAGGCCAGCGAGAAGCAGAACGUGCG
rnacentral:lncRNA from 1 species